GGGGCUUGGGCCAGGACAGGCCGCACUGACAAGGUCUGCAGCGCCGGCAAAUACACCUCCAAAAGCUCCGAACCCCACCUUUGUCUGCCGCUUGUGAGAAGAAACAGAGUGAAAUCUGAGGGAAGCCUUCAUCCCUUUGGAGACUCUAUCACACGCUCAGCCACCUUUGAGGGCGUGCACAAGUUAUGUAAGGUUUUGGAGAGAUGGAUGGUGGCAGAGCUGUUGGACACCCUGUACUUCUGUAACAAUUGCCUUACAGCCUCUUCUGUCCAGGCAGUCUCUUCCCUAGGAAAGAGUCUUGCAUUGGAAAUUCAAGAUACACCGAUCAAGUUGCCAGGCCUGCGCCUCAUUGGCCACCAGCUGAAGUGACCGUGUGCUCUGGUUGGAUUUGGUAGAUGGGAUCUACCUGCAGCAGACUGCCCUCAUGCCAAACCUGUCUGGAUGGUCCAUGGUUGGUGAAAACAGAGACUUGGAGACUUUGCAUCACAAGGCGUGGAGUGCACUGACUGUUGCCAUGAAGUCUGGUUAUUCUGAAGACUUAAAGCCAUAUAUAUGAAGCAAGUUAGUACUAAAUUGACUACUGUACCUUUCAUUAGAUCUAUUAUCUACCUAGAGGCUAUUUUCACUUUCAAGUGGCAUUUGCUCCAUAAUAAGUAAUGUCUCAAAAUGCUGUUAAUUAAAGUUUCAUCUGUUUAGAGGAAUUUCUUCUUCUUCCCCCUUUCCUCUUUUCUUUUCAGAAGGUAGUAAUUAUUCCAAGAGUGUGGAGACAUUGUUACUGUAGCUCAUUAAAUAUGGCAAUGCUCACUUGGACCUUUGAGUGCUGGUGAUGUCAAGUUGACCUGAAAUGCAAGGAUUCCAUCUGUCAGGAAUUACUGAUGAAUUGGCAAUUAAAUAUAAAUAAAUAUAUAUAUAUAUAUAUUUAACUCA
rnacentral:lncRNA from 1 species